GACGAACGCUGGCGGCGUGCUUAACACAUGCAAGUCGAACGGGCCCGCCCCUGUUUUUGGGGGUGGGUUGAGUGGCGAACGGGUGAGUAUCACGUGAGUAACCUGCCCCCUGCUCCUGGAUAACUGCUUGAAAGGGCGGCUAAUACGGGGUGUGCCGGCUGGUCCGCAUGGGCCUGGUCGGGAUAGUUUCAUCUUCGGGUGUUUCGGUGGGGGAUGGGCUCGCGGCCUAUCAGCUUGUUGGUGGGGUGAUGGCCCACCAAGGCGGUGACGGGUAGCCGGCCUGAGAGGGUGGGCGGCCACACUGGGACUGAGACACGGCCCAGACUCCUGCGGGAGGCAGCAGUGGGGGGUAUUGGACAAUGGGCGGAAGCCUGAUGCAGCGACGUCGCGUGAGGGAUGGAGGCCUUCGGGUUGUGAACCUCUUUCUCCGGUGGUGAAGGCCCUGUCCGUUGCGGCGGGGUUGACGGUAGCCGGGGAUGAAGCGCCGGCUAACUACGUG
rnacentral:rRNA from 1 species